rnacentral:misc_RNA from 1 species
GAUGAAGAACGUAGCGAAAUGCGAUACGUAAUGUGAAUUGCAGAAUUCAGUGAAUCAUCGAGUCUUUGAACGCGCAUUGCGUCCCCUGGUAUUCCGGGGGGCAUGCCUGUCCGAGCGUCAUUGCUGCCCUCAAGCCCGGCUUGUGUGUUGGGUCUCGUCCCCCUUCCCGGGGGGACGGGCCCGAAAGGCAGCGGCGGCACCGCGUCCGGUCCUCGAGCGUAUGGGGCUUUGUCACCCACUCUGUAGGCCCGGCCGGCGCUUGCCGAUCAACCAAAACUUUUUUCCAGGUUGACCUCGGAUCAGGUAGGGAUACCCGCUGAACUUAAGCAUAUCAAUAAGCGGAGGA